ensembl:lncRNA SNHG14 small nucleolar RNA host gene 14
GUGGUGAGCCCGGAGGAGGACUUGCGUUCGGCCCGCUGGUCCCAGUGUGUCCGGAAUUGGUGGGUUCUUGGUCUCACUGACUUCAAGAAUGAAGCUGCGGACCCUCGCUAUGAUGAUAUGGAAGAAAAGCACUCUUUGGCCUGUUGUGACUGGGACAGUUGACAGCACCCAGGUGUCCUUUAAUGAAAAUGCUCUUGACACCAAUGCAUCCUAGCAUCACAGCUUCAGGAAGCCUUCUCAAGUGUGCAUGGGGAGUACUAUGUCUUUCAUCAAUAAUGAAAUCUUCUGAUUUGUAAGACAUGCUGCCAAGAGAUGUGCCAUUCUAUUAUAAAAGAUCAGUAGCUUCCUUUACCGACGUGUAUAUUCUAUCUAGAACAUUGAGCUAUGGAAGACUCCCACCUAAGGGAAUUAGUUUUACACCUUCAGAUAAAGACUGCUGAGAAGAGCACCCUCUGGUGUUGUCACAGAGGCAAGUGCUACCGCACAGGCAUGCUGCAGUGAAUUUAACUGAUCCUCUGUCCCUGCAACCGUUGUUUAAGGAUGCUAUUCUGAAAAGACUGUGGAGGAAGAAAACCCUUUACCCUGUUGUUCAGGGAGAAACUGACACCACUCAACUGCCUGGCACUGAAAAUGUGGCAUCCAGUCCACUUUACCAUCAGUGUUUAAGGAAACCAUCUCUGAUAAGGAUGACUGAGGAAGAGUACUCUUUGGCUUGUUGACACCAGCACAGCUGACACACCCAGAUAUCUGUUUGGUCUCCUGUGAACUUUCAACCAGGAUUUAAGGAUGCCACUCUGGUUAAAAGCUGAAACAACUUCAAGGAAACUUCAGGGAAAAGAGAAGGCCUGGAAUCUGAUCCUCCACUUCAGAGAACAGGGGUCAGCUUACUGUAUGAUUAAGUAACACAAGGCACAGUAGCCAUCUUUUUCAUUAUGUUGCAACACUGAUCACGUGCCUCGAUAAAAUGGCUGAUUCAACAAGAUGAUGGCAACACGAAGGGGAGACUUUGGAUUGUCUAUUUAAAAUCUAGGUAAUAAGUAAGUAAUUAAUAAAAACUCUAUCUU